rnacentral:rRNA from 1 species
UACGUAGGGGGCAAGCGUUGUCCGGAUUUAUUGGGCGUAAAGAGCUCGUAGGCGGCUCGUCGCGUCGACUGUGAAAACUCGGGGCUUAACCCCGGGCUUGCAGUCGAUACGGGCGGGCUAGAGUUCGGUAGGGGAGACUGGAAUUCCUGGUGUAGCGGUGAAAUGCGCAGAUAUCAGGAGGAACACCGGUGGCGAAGGCGGGUCUCUGGGCCGAUACUGACGCUGAGGAGCGAAAGCGUGGGGAGCGAACAGG